rnacentral:lncRNA from 1 species
AGGAAAGAAAGAAAGAAAGAAACCAGCCUGUUUAAAUUCUUGUUUUCAUCUCCAUUUCUUGUGAAUUAUUAUACAAACAUAAAACAGCUUGAUUUUGUAAGAAAAGCUUUUAGUUUUCUGCAGAAUGACCUCAAGUGAACAGUGUCUUUAAAAAUCUAAUUCAGAGGAAGAAAAGUCAAGACACCGUUACUCUGUGUUUAUGGAAACUGUUUCAUGCGUGGUAAGCAGGAUUCAUUGCAUGAUCUUUUGGGGAAAAUGAAGCCAUUGAAAUUGGUUAGCUCACUGCACAGCAAUAUACCACACCAGUAGCAGCUUAUAUUGAUGCUGAAAAGCCAGUGGGGUUACUCAAAACAUUGUCUCAACCCGUGGAAGAUGGAUUCAAAAGCAUCUUCAGAGGAUACACCUGAAGCAAUGGAAAAGAAUGGUGAGAUGGAGUCACUGAACCAAGAAGAAUAGAGUACUUCUACCAACAAUGAUUCAGAUAAAGAAAUCAGUUGAUUUUGGGAAAAGAAUUAGUGAGUUCUCAGGGGAGGGGUUUGACUGCAGCUUUCUUCUUCCUGGCUAUGUUGUCUCUUGACUGCAUCUGUUACUGCUGAGACACUUCAUGUUUAUGUACAUGUUCUUUCAGUGCUUUGCUUUAUUAACUGUAAAGAGAAUAACAUUCUUGUUCACGUUAAUGAUUCUCAACUUAAUUAGAGUCAGAUUAAUAAUCACCUUACAGUAAUAUGGCCACAUAGCAAUUUGGGUAUUGAUAUUUAGGCUUUGCAUGAUGAAAUAUUAACUAUUGAGCACUCAAAGUUAGAUGAAUUACCCUUUUCCAAUGCUGUGCAAAACCUAGCAAAGAUAUUUGGCCAUUAUUUUUCUGUCUGUAAUUGGAUUCUCAAGUUGUGGUCCAUAGGAAUGUCUCUGUGAACUUUGUUAUUGGUUAUACUAAGAAGUAAAAUAGCCUUCAGUAUCAUUUGCUACUACAUGUCUGCUUUGAAGAAUGGCCUGCAUAGCCUGAAAUUUAAAAAACAUAAAUAAAUAAGGAGGAACUGCAGGGAGUCAUGGAGUUGGCCUGGUCUUCCUGCCUUCACCAGCAUGUUUUGGGUCUUUUCUGUUUGAGUCUGUGGCUAAGGGGGCACUGUAUAACUUUCAGUUACUGAGAAAGCAAAGCACACCUUCAGGCAGUACAGCAUUCAGCCCAUCUGUGUAUCUCUGCAUCCUGUAGAGUCAGAAAAACUUAUAGAAGAUAGGCUUACAAUUAGUUUUAUAAAUUAACCUUGUGUACUCUGUUUAGAUUGCAAACUUCAUUCUAUCCUGACAAAUAAAACUGUAGUUUUCAUAGC